UACGUAGGGGGCAAGCGUUGUCCGGAAUUAUUGGGCGUAAAGCGCGCGCAGGCGGCCUAUUAAGUCUGAUGUGAAAGCCCACGGCUCAACCGUGGAGGGCCAUUGGAAACUGGUAGGCUUGAGUGCAGGAGAGGAGAGCGGAAUUCCUGGUGUAGCGGUGAAAUGCGUAGAUAUCAGGAGGAACACCCGUGGCGAAGGCGGCUAUCUGGACAGAGUCUGACGCUGAGGCGCGAAAGCCAGGGGAGCAAACGGG
rnacentral:rRNA from 1 species